CAGCACCUCAAGUGGUCAGGAUGAUUAUUGGGCCUAAAGCAUCCGUAGCCGGCGCUGUAAGUUUUCGGUUAAAUCUGUACGCUCAACGUACAGGCUGCCGGGAAUACUGCAGCGCUAGGGAGUGGGAGAGGUAGACGGUACUCGGUAGGAAGGGGUAAAAUCCUUUGAUCUAUUGAUGACCACCUGUGGCGAAGGCGGUCUACCAGGACACGUCCGACGGUGAGGGAUGAAAGCUGGGGGAGCAAACCGGAUUAGAUACCCGUGUAGUCC
rnacentral:rRNA from 1 species